rnacentral:lncRNA from 1 species
GUUAGGUUCCAUCCCAAACAGGCAGCAUUGGCCAUGCAGUUCUGGCUUUAGGGUCAUGAAAGAUACAGGAGUAGAGAGGGGUUUGGAAUCGUCCUCUGUGCUUAAGGAAUGACUCGAGUCACUGAGAUUACAUGGAUGUGUAGUGGGGGAGUCCCUACAUGGAGGCCAGGAGAGACCAUUGCCUGAAGCUUUGAAGGUGAAGCCUAGAUUGCAUUGGAGACACCGAGGUGUUUGUUGGAGGUACCAGAAUUGUGGGAUACCUGACCAAAAAAAGCUGCAGACAGAGAGGGAACCAGUCCAAGAGAAGUGUGUUGAAGUCAGCAAAACUGAAAGGGAAGAGCUAUCUAAGCCCUUUGACAUCAGGUAUAGAGUCACAGGAUUUGGAGUUACCAUGCUGGGAUUUGGCUUUGCUUUGGUCUAGUGUUUCUUCACUAUGCCCCUAUCCCUUCCUCUUUAGAAUGGUAAUGUAUAUUCUGUGUCAUUGCAUGUUGGAAUAUGUCUUUUUUAAAAAAAAUUUUACAGGGGUUUUGCAGUUAAAAGAGAAUUUGGAGUUUAGACGUUUGAACUGUGUUGAAGCUGGGAAAACCUAUGGAAACUUCAAAUUUGAACUAAAUACAUUCUGCGUUAUGAUAUGGUCACAGCCUUUGGGAACCAGGGAGUGGAAUGUGAUGCUUUGAAUGAAAAUGGUUCCCACAGGCUCAAAUAUUGUAAUACUUGGUCUCCAGUUGGUAGAAUUAUUUGGAAUGUAUCAGGAGGUUUGGCCUUGUAGGAAGAGGUGUGUCACUGGUUUUGAGGUUCCAAAAACUCAUGCCAUUCCCAGUUAGCCUUCUGUGCCUCAUGCCUGAUUGUCUGCUGCCAUGUUCGCCAGCCUCUGAAAAUAUGCUCCUCCUGAUGUCUGCUCUGUUAGCUUUUCGCCACUGACA